CACGUGAGUAACAUACCUUUAAGUGGGGAAUAACUACUCGAAAGGGUAGCUAAUACCGCAUAAGACCACGGUGACUUAUGUCGCAGUGGUAAAAACUUUAGUGCUUAAAGAUUGGCUCGCGGUCUAUUAGGUAGUUGGUGGGGUAAUGGCCUACCAAGCCCGAGAUAGAUAGCUGGUCUGAGAGGAUGAUCAGCCACACUGGAACUGAGACACGGUCCAGACUCCUACGGGAGGCAGCAGUGAGGAAUAUUGCGCAAUGGACGAAAGUCUGACGCAGCAACGCCACGUGUGUGAUGAAGG
rnacentral:rRNA from 1 species